CUCUCUAUCUCUCUCUCCCUCCUCUAUCCAUCUCUCUCUCUCAGUUGACGGGAGGUAAUCCCCGCCAUGUGAGAGGGCGGCACGAGCUGUGGAGGUGGGUUGUUUUUCAUUCACAUCCUGCUGCACCUAUAAAAAGCACAACUCUGUGAGACAGAGCCUGAAAACAGAUGGGAAAAGGUGACUGAUACGAUUGUCUAUAUCUGCAUGCUUACAUUGCCGGCCAGACAUCAUCGGCAGGGCGAGAUGCAGAAGUCUGCAGGUGUCCUGACGGUGCUGGCCCUGAAACACACAGCUCUAUGUCUGAUUCUGCUGCCCCGGUUCCUCCUGGCAGCGCUGAUGCUGUGUCUCCUGGACGUCCUGUGUAUCAGGAGGAAAGUGCUGCUGAAGAUGGAGGGCAGCAGCCCCGAAGACCCGCCUGUCUGCGUCUCCGACUCCAACAAGAUGUUCACCCUGGAGUCGCUCAGGGCCGUGUGGUACGGGCAGAAAUUAGACUUUUUCAAAUCCGCGCACCUUGGACUUAUCGCGCCCAACACUGAGGUUGUGCAGCUGCAGGAGCGGCGCAGGGUCAGGGUCCUAGACUAUGUGAAAGGGAGGAGACCUCUCAUCCUCAACUUCGGCAGUUGCUCCUGACCACCGUUCAUGACGCGCCUGGCUGCGUUUCAGCGCGUCGCGAGCCAGUAUGCGGACAUCGCCGACUCCCUGCUUGUAUAUAUCGAGGAGGCGCAUCCCUCGGACGGCUGGGUGAGCUCCGACGCGCCAUACCAGAUCCCCAAGCACUGCUGUCUGGAGGACAGACUGAAAGCCGCUCAGCUGAUGCACUCGGAGGUUCCCUGCAGCAGUGUGGUGGUGGAUACUAUGGACAACUCGUCCAACGCGGCUUACGGAGCCUAUUUUGAGAGACUUUAUAUCCUGAGGGAUGAGCGGGUCGUGUAUCAGGGGGGCAGGGGACCGGAGGGCUACCGGAUAUCAGAGCUUAGGAACUGGCUCGAGCAAUACCGGAAUGAUUUGGAGAAUUCCAGCAGAACAGUGGUGGUCCACGUUUAACUUAAAGAUAACCAUUAGGCGCGUGAAGUGUCCACACAGUGAAGAAGUAUUCAGAUGCUGCUACAAACUCUUGACACACUGCACAUAUGACUAGGCCUAUACAUGUUGUUUUGGUUCAGAAGCAUUAUAGAAUUAGUACACAUAUUAGUAAUGUUUAUUAUGAUGUAAAACGCACGAUAGGCUUAGUUGUUCAGUUGUGCUCGUCUUGACACUAAUUAUUUGUUUGGUUGUUUGUUUGUUUUUGUAAGGAGCUGUCUUUGAUUUGAACCUGUGCAAAAGUUUUACUUAUUUCAGUUUGACCUUCAUUUGAUUAUGAUCACUUUAUUUUUUAUACUAUAUGGUCUCUACCUUGUGUGUGUGUGUGUGUGUGUGUGUGUGUGUGUGUGUGUGUGUGUGUGUGUGUGUGUGUGUGUGUGUGUGUGUGUGUGUGUGUGUGUGUGUGUGUGUGUGUGUGUGUGUGUGUGUGUGUGUGUGAGAGAGAGAGUGUGUGCGUGCGUGCGUGAGGCUAAAUGGCUAAAACCUUUUACUCUAGUGUUGUUGUGAAGUUCGGUUUUUAAAGGGUUUUAAACCAGGAAACUGAUACUGAUGUUGUUUGAUACUAGAGUACUUGGCGACUAGCAAUGUCUUCAACGAACAAAUUGCCAAACGGUUCUGUAAAUUGUUUAUAUUUUAUUGAACAAAUAUUUGUAAUAAAUGUUAGAACA